GAGGGAAAGAGGGAGGAAAGGAGGAAUGAAGGAGGGAGGGAUGCGCACGGGAGGGAGGGCUGCCGAAGAAAGGGGGCACGCAGGAGGACGAGAAGAAAGGGGGCGCGGGGGGCGACGCCGGGGGAGCGAGGCCGGGGGUCUCCGCCGGCCCUCGUGCUGCCCGCUGGCCGCCAUGCCGUGGUGCUGAGCGCUGGUUGAGGCAGGGCUGGCCGUGGCGUCGUGGGAGAAGCGGAGGGUUUGUGGGACCUCAAACCUGCCUGCACCGGUUUGAUUUCGGAGAACGGCGGUACCGCACACGUGUGUGGGUGGCAAAGCUUUGGAUCUUCGAUUCAAGCCUCUGGAAUGAGGGAGAUGUGGAAACACCAAGCCUCCAAGCCUUUCCGUUGAAGACAAAUAAAACAAUAUGAAAUAUAAAGGA